AGUGUCCCUGCAGAGAGGGAGGAGAUCUUCCUCACAACCAGUGUCCCUGUGAAGAAUGGACACAAUCAUCCACAACCACCUCCCAUCAUCCCCAUGGUGGCACCACUGUGGAAAUGGGAUGGUGGAGCGUGUACUCCACCUGUGGAUUUCUAUUCCAAGAGAAGAGAUUGUCUGGGAUCCAACUCUGCACAGAUGGGUUAACAAAACUGAGCCCAAGGCUGAGAACAAGUGUGUACCACCACCUCCACCGAUGGGGACAUAUGGAUAUCAGGGGAACACUGGC